AAAUUAUAAACAUAUUAACUCUAAGUUAUGCUUAUAUUUACUCAGAUUUAGAACUAAGACAAGGAGCACAUAAGGUGGUAAAAAACACCUAUCUUUCAGAAUAAACAUCAUUCCCUAACUAAUGCCAAUGAUUACAUAAGAAAGUACAUUGCUGGAAAAAUAUCUAAGAAAAGUCAGGGACAUAUUAUAGCCAGUUUUGUAAUGAUUACUAUUUAAAUCAUGUUUCAAAUUAAGAGUUACAGAAUUGGAUAUUUUUCUACAUGUACAUUUCAGGGCACAUUUUAACUUUUCUUUCAUUGCUGAAUUAUUUAGAAAUUGGCUAGAGCAAAACCAAAAGAAAGGGAAAAAGACAAAUUGCUAAAUCAACUUUUUGGGUUAAAAUAACUGAGAAAGAUACAUCCACAAAACAAGCAUGGACGUUCUGAAAUUUUCCACAUUUAAAUUCAGGCAAGGCAUCAUAUUAUCUGGAGAAGAUUCAAAGAAAACAGAAGUAGCAUGAAUAUGAUGAAGAAACCAGACAUGAAGAGGCUAAAUAGCUUAACAAAGUCCACAAUGCUGAAAAGUAGAGCUGUAAUUUGAACUCAGGGGUUUUAAUAUCAGAGAUUAUGUUCCUUACCAUAGGUUUUAAUGUAGAGUCACUGAAGGAUACUACAAAUAAGUAACUAAGGCACUGCCUUUUUCUUUAAAUGUUAUUUUUAUUAGAUAAUUACUUCGUUUAUCAACCCUACUCAGAGUCAGGUAUACCACCAGGCACUGGGAAUACAAAGAUGAAACUCACGGUUUAGCCGGGAAGACAGGUCUAACUGAUAUCACAUGAUGCACCUGAUAAAUUCACCGUGAUAAGUGCAGUGGUGGUGACAUGUCAGGGUAUUAUGAGAAUAGAGAACCGAAACACCAAAUCCAGCUAGAAGAGGUAUAAAGGCUUUCUGAAGAAAAAGUUAGCUGAGCUGCGGUUAGCUGUUUGGAGGGAAGUUUGGAGAAGGGAUGCCCGCUCCAGGCAGGUAAAUAUAAGGCAGGCAAAGUCACCAUGGAGUUUAAUGUACUGAAUCAUGGAAUGCAAUGUGGAGAUGAUGUUGAAGUCAGGAGUGAUAAUCAAGGCUUAGACCUUAGAGGCACUGUGGAUAAUGGGAGAGUCUGGACUUCAUCCUCUGAGUAAAUGGGGAGCUGGUCCAGAGUUAUAAAUAGGAUAGUCACGUAAACAUGGAUAUAUUUUAAAUAUAUAGUGGGGUGGCAGGUUGGAAAAGUAACUGAAGUUCUAUUAGUCAAAAUAAGCCAGAUUGUGCUAUGGUAACAAAUAAAUAUCCAAAUAUCCGUGAGUUAAUGCAAUAAAAGGUUAUUUCUUAAACACCCAAAGUCCGAGGCUGACUAGGCAGCCCUUCACCACCUGGUAGCUAUGCCAUCUGCAAUAUGUAUCCUUCCAGGUUAUUGCACUGCAGGUGACAAGAUGUUUUUAUGGGUUGGGACUAGAAGUGGCCUUCAUUUACUUUUCCCAUAUCUCUUCAUCUGGGAUCCUGCCACAUGACCCAGAGUAAGUGCAAGAGGCUUUAGGCAAGCACUGAGAGUCUACCACAGAAUAGGGCACUUCAUUCAAUCUUGUUUAUAAUAGGUGAAAUAUACCUAUAAUUUCUUACUGUAUUACUGGAGAAAAAUCAGUUUAUUUAUGUAUUCAGUUCAUUAAACAAAUGCUUUUGUGAACACCUACUCGGCACUGUCCUAAGUUCUGUCUCUGUCAUAAAAAGCAGGGGUAAAGCAUUGCUCACAUUACUUCCCUGCACAUCAACUCUUCAUUGGCUCUCCAGUCACAUGGUGACAUGUGCAAGGGGACAGCAUUAGAGUAAGAGGGGUGAGAAGCGUAACAUAGGCCAGAUCAUGUGGAGUUUUGUAGGACUUUGAAUUUAACUUAAAUGAAGGGCCUUAAAACAUUCUAUGCAGAAGAGUGAUAUAAUCUGACUUCCUUUUUUAAAAAAUAAUUCUGGCUGCUCUGUUGAGAACAGACAUAAGAUGAUGGGGUAGACACAUUGAGCUCUCUUAGGAAGUUAUGUAGUAAUCCAAGUGAACAAUGAUUAUGGUUUUGAGCCAGGGUAGAAGCAUGGAUCUGGUGAAAAGUGGUCUGAUUCUGGAUAUAUUUUGAAAUGAAGGUAUUUAAUUUUGAACUAAAUAAUUAGAAUUUGAAGACAGGUGAGACGUAUGCUAUAAGACAAAAAGGUCUUAACUUGAGCUCUUAGGAGCAUGGAGUUGCAGCCAACUGAGGGGAGAUAAGCCUUAAUCAUAUGAAGUAUUCCUAGAUGGCUUCAAAAGGGCUCGAGAGAGCAUUAACCCCCUAAAUAAUUCAGCUCCAAUGGAUGCUUCCUUUAGAAUUUCAAAUAAUAACAAUGUUGAUGAAAAAGUAUUUUUCCAAGAUUUAAAGCUUAGCCCCAAGCAUUCCCUACAUUGACAAAAUUUCGCAUAAAAUCUAAGAUCUAUCUACCUAAAAAUAAAACCAGUAAGAAAAUUAUAUAAUUAUCUUUUCUGAAAGCCAAGUCAUAAAAUAUUAAGCUAUAUUAGAUUAUUUUGAUGUGACAUAAUUCAUUUACUUUUUGUUAGGGGCACGUUUGCUUUAUGGGAACUACCUACGAAGCUCUCUUACAGAAAUAAACUGUUCGUUUAUCAUUGUUGUUGUUAUUAUUUAUGUAUUAGAAAGACAUCAAGUAAGGUAUGCCACUUCACUUUGGCAGCUUAAUUAAUCCACUGAGUAUUAAUUAGUAGAUGAGGAAAUGAUAAAGAUUCUCUCUUUGACCAAACUUUGAUCAAACUCUUCUGAGCUCUCUUUUUAACCAGGCCCCAACUUUCGAACUUCCAUGUUAGUUUCUGCAUUGUCCAAUUUAGCAAGAAUCUUCUCAGUUUAGCCAGAAUUUUUCAUUUUUGAUAUAUGAUCACACUUUGGUAUCUGAUCAGGUUUCCUUCCUCUACAAUGCUUCUGGUGAUAUUUGAUCACCCUGGUCUGCCUUCAGCAAGAAUCCCAUCAGAUCUGUUAGCCAGGACCCCCCCUUACCCCAAAUGUUAACUCUUAGUAAUUUCUAUCCAGUAAGCCCCUCCCCUUAACUCAGCUCCUUGGCUAUAAAUUCCCACUUUUCCUUGUGGUAUUCAUAGUUGAGCCCAAUUUCUCUUUUCUACUAUAAAAUCCUAUUGGGGUAGCCUUCCUGUGUAACUAUUGUAAUAGUACUCUUUGAAUAGUCUGCCUUACCAUUCUUUAAUGGGUGUAAUGAAUAAUUUUUUCUUUGACAAAGAUCAUAUUUGAGCUGGAUUUUGAUGAAAGCAGGGAAGGAGGGAGAAUUUCUUCAGGCAUAUAGAACAGGAUGCAUAAAUGCAAGGAUGUGAAAAAGGAUGGCUGAUUCAUGGAAAUUAUAAAAUUUAGGGCUCAUGAGAGCAGAGCAGUUUGGUUCAGGAGUGUGAGGAGUAGGAAACUGAACCUGGUAAAGUCUGGUAAGAUUGAUUAUAAAGUUAUGCAUGGGGC
rnacentral:lncRNA from 1 species